rnacentral:rRNA from 1 species
GAGAGGACCGGAGUGGACGCAUCACUGGUGUUCGGGUUGUCAUGCCAAUGGCACUGCCCGGUAGCUAAAUGCGGAAGAGAUAAGUGCUGAAAGCAUCUAAGCACGAAACUUGCCCCGAGAUGAGUUCUCCCUGACCCUUUAAGGGUCCUGAAGGAACGUUGAAGACGACGACGUUGAUAGGCCGGGUGUGUAAGCGCAGCGAUGCGUUGAGCUAACCGGUACUAAUGAACCGUGAGGCUUAACCUUACAACGCCGAAGCUGUU